rnacentral:rRNA from 1 species
CAGUAGCCACGGUAAUACGUAGGUGGCAAGCGUUGUCCGGAAUUAUUGGGCGUAAAGGGCUCGCAGGCGGCUUCUUAAGUCUGAUGUGAAAGCCCCCGGCUCAACCGGGGAGGGUCAUUGGAAACUGGGAAACUUGAGUGCAGAAGAGGAGAGUGGAAUUCCACGUGUAGCGGUGAAAUGCGUAGAGAUGUGGAGGAACACCAGUGGCGAAGGCAACUCUCUGGUCUGUAACUGACGCUGAGGAGCGAAAGCGUGGGGAGCGAACAGGAUUAGAUACCCCCGUAGUCCCUGUCUCUUAUAA